AAAAAGGGUGCUCGCUACUUAGAUAGCGCUUCAGCACGGUUUAAAUGCCGUGUUGGCGGGGUAUGGCCAAUCAAGACAUACCCAGUACGUAAUUUUUGUAAAAGCGAGGCUGUUGGCUGCCAAUUUUUGCACUAACGCCUCC